rnacentral:rRNA from 1 species
UCUCAGUUCGGAUCGGGGUCUGCAACCCGACUCCGUGAAGCUGGAUUCGCUAGUAAUCGCGCAUCAGCCAUGGCGCGGUGAAUACGUUCCCGGGCCUUGUACACACCGCCCGUCAAGCCAUGGAAGCCGGGGGCGCUUGAAGUGCGUUGCCGCAAGGCGCGCCCUAGAGCGAAACCGGUGACUGGGGCUAAGUCGUAACAAGGUAGC